rnacentral:rRNA from 1 species
GACGUAGGGUGCAAGCGUUAUCCGGAUUUACUGGGCGUAAAGAGCGCGUAGGCGGCCUGUUAAGUGAGACGUGAAAUCUUCAGGGCUCAACCCGAAAAUUGCUUUUCAUACUGGCAGACUUGAGGGAUGGAGAGGUAUGUGGAAUUCCUGGUGUAGCGGUGAAAUGCGUUGAUAUCAGGAGGAACACCCAUGGCGAAGGCAGCAUACUGGUCAUCAUCUGACGCUGAGGCGCGAAAGCGUGGGUAGCAAACAGG